CUUGAAAAUACCUCCUGUGUGCAACCUAGAAGAGGGAAUUUCGUUAGAGUUGGAGAGAAGGCCUUCAAGUGAAGGAUUUGGGGAAUUUUGUGAAGAUUGCUUAGAUUAAACUCAAGGGCACACUCCGGAAGGAACUAGCACGCCAUCACAACGCUGAAAUCAGCUUGGAGGUCAGUCCUUACAUCAUCAUCAUCUAUCUUUUGUUAGCUUAAGGACAACUAGGCACUUGGA